UACGUAGGGUCCAAGCGUUGUCCGGAUUUAUUGGGCGUAAAGAGCUCGUAGGCGGUUCCGUAAGUCGGAUGUGAAAACUCGGGGCUCAACCCCGAGACGCCAUCCGAUACUGCGGUGACUUGAGUCUGGUAGGGGAACACGGAAUUCCUGGUGUAGCGGUGAAAUGCGUAGAUAUCUGGAGGAACACCGGUGGCGAAGGCGGCAUCCUGGACCGGUAUUGACGCUGAUGCGCGAAAGCCAGGGGAGCAAACGGG
rnacentral:rRNA from 1 species